AGUACCAUAUCAGUACUGCACAAAAAUUGGAACGAUACAAAGAAGAUUGAAUGGUCCCUGAGCAAGGAUAGCACGCAAAUUUGUGAAACAUUCCUUAUUUUU